GGUUCCAUGAUGUAGUGGUUAGCACUCUGGACUUUGAAUCGUUGAACCUGGGUUCAACUCCUGGUGGGACCU
rnacentral:tRNA from 1 species